GACGAACGCUGGCGGCGUGCUUAACACAUGCAAGUCGAACGGAAAGGCCCUGCUUUUGUGGGGUGCUCGAGUGGCGAACGGGUGAGUAACACGUGAGUAACCUGCCCUUGACUUUGGGAUAACUUCAGGAAACUGGGGCUAAUACCGGAUAGGAGCUCCUGCUGCAUGGUGGGGGUUGGAAAGUUUCGGCGGUUGGGGAUGGACUCGCGGCUUAUCAGCUUGUUGGUGGGGUAGUGACUUACCAAGGCUUUGACGGGUAGCCGGCCUGGGAGGGUGACCGGGCACAUUGGGACUGAGAUACGGCCCAGACUCCUACGGGAGGCAGCAGUGGGGAAUAUUGCACAAUGGGCGGAAGCCUGAUGCAGCAACGCCGCGUGCGGGAUGACGGCCUUCGGGUUGUAAACCGCUUUCGCCUGUGACGAAGCGUGAGUGACGGUAAUGGGUAAAGAAGCACCGGCUAACUACGUG
rnacentral:rRNA from 1 species